UCCAACGAGCUCCGCGCGUCCGGGUCCGGGAGGGAGCCAAGGGCUCCCUGGUUCAAAGGGCCGCAGCCCAUGGGGAUGCCCUCCUCGUGUGCCCUGGGGUGCAGAAGCAGACUGCAGGGCGGUGGGACCAACCUGGGCCACGAAAAGGAGUGUUCUAGGAUUGGAGUGAGGACCUAGAAGUUGGGAAGAAACCCACGACAGGGCAACACCUGCGACAUGCUCCCCGUAUGGCCAGCACAUCCUUUGCCCAAAAGGUGGUAUCACUCCCAUCAACUUCCUAAACUCUUCAGGUGUUGAAGACACACGCACAAUGUCUGGGGGACUCUGGCAUCCGCCAACACCCUCCCUUAGAGUAUCCUAGAGUGACUUCUGAGGGGGGUUGGCCAGGGAUAUGGAAAUAAUUCUUGGACAGUUUGACUCACUGAAGAAAUAGAUGAAGCCGUUUGGUAACUAACCCAGGCUAUGACAAGUUGCAGGGAGACCGCGGAGAACUCAAUAAGAAGGAGCGGCGAGUGGAAUCAAAAACCCUCGGAAUGUUUGGAAGACUGAGCGAAGAUGGCUCCAAAUGAUAGGCUGGAAAUGGACGCUUCCCUCUCCCGAGUUGGUUUCUUCCUGGUCCUCUGCGAGAAGCUGUCUGCCUACGAUGAGCCUUUUGCAAACUUCUAGACUUUAUUAGAGUUUCCCCCCACCUUCUCUUCCUCUGAGUUCCCCUCUUCUCACGAAGUUAGCACGGGAGGGGAAAAGUGAUACCGGCGAAGGGAAGAGACAUAUUUUCUGCCCCCACCCCGCUUGCUUCUUAGUAAAGUGGCCUCAGUCUGAGCUACCCAGGGUCUUUCUAGGAACUGCUCUCUGAGAGUGGGAGAGCUUAUCCUCCUCCCUACCCGCCCCCAGCAGUUCUGUAUGCGCGUUUUAUAACCUAUCUCCCAGUGAAAAACAGUGCUGCGUAGAAACUGUGCAGACCGGUAGAACUGCUCUUCCCUAAACUGCGAUAGUGGGGACCCCCACUAGAAAAUAAGCACCCCAGCUAGAGGCGGAUCUUGUAGGAUUCAGGUUGGCGUGAGGAUGCCUGCUCAAUUGGAGAGUGCAGGAGAAGGGACUUCCGAGGAACCUUGUAAUACAAAAUGUGAAAUAUGUUUAUCCUAACUCUAUGCUCAGAAUCCUUGCCAAGAAAGGCAGAGUUGGUAGUUGUCAAAGCCAGCAGUGCCUCCUGUCCCCCAAACUCAUUUGCUUGAAGGGUCCCGCUCAGCCGAAGCCCCAAAUAAGAAAGAUGACAAACAGCAAUACUCAGGGCACUGUGCAAACGGUUACAAAGAAACUGCAGCUCCCUCUCCCUCUUAAAAAAAAAAUCCAUGGAAGUAAAAGCACUAGCAAUCUUAAACAAUUCCAUAAUCGGGACAGAAAGAGCAGAUACACUGUAAAUUCAUAGCUUACAGCACAAAUGUUUCCUGGCUUCCUGUGUCCUGCUUGGUAAAAAACAAACAAAAAACUAAACUUAGCUGGGUUCUUCUUUAACUGGAGAAGUGGCAAGAAUUAAAGGUUUUAAAAGUUUGUGGUUCAAAAAAGACUGGAUCUUGGAUACAUUUUGCCAGCUUACCACCCCUUGCAAACAAAACAGUGCCUUCUAACUUUGUUUUCUCAACUUUCUUUCUCAACCUCACCCCAAGUUUUUUGGUUUUUUCUUCUUCUCAGAACUUGAUGCAUUUUUCUUUGUUUCUACCAAAGUGUUUCUGACUUUGAUAAAUAUUAAUUAUCUGUCCUCUUCCUGGAGCUUUCCUACACUCCCCACUCACUUGUAUCAGCGAGGAACAGAUCCCCACCUCUAAGCCUGAAACAACGCCCUGGGUACCCCAUUGUGUGCUGAAUAACCACCACAGAAAUAGAUAUUAAAAUUAAAUAGCCACAAAACUAAGAGGGUGGGGGUAAACAUACCACAAGACAUGAUUUUUACUAACAAGGAAGUUAUAAGGUGAAUGGAUGUAAUGGGUGCCGCUUCUUCCUCUGUCAUGAUAUACGUACGACUAGCGAUAACUGGACCAUGAAGAGAAAUCUCUGCUUUUCUUCUCCUCUGUUAUUUUGUUAGAAAUCUUUCAGAACUGAACAAAUGCAGAAUGUUUGUUCUCAAAAAACAAACAAACAAAAAACUGUGUGCUUACUACUGCCGAGUAAAUCUUUAAAAGUAGGAUUAAAUAAGUAGGAUAUGAAAUAAUUUAAAAAACUCUGUCAAAAAGGUUCCUUCAAUAUUUUGGUUUUGAAAUGGUUGUGAGGGGAACAUUGUAAACGAAAUUACUGCCUCGGCAUGGUCCGUGUAAAUGUGAGUCCUGAAAUAUCAAUGAGGGUAACAGGGGCCAUAGAGCAAUGUGAGCCAGGCUGGGGUUGUACUCCCUGACCCUGUGUGAAUCUGGGAAAGGCGAAGGUGCACCUCAGUCUUCUAUAUUUUUCCUUCCCUCUUUCAAUAUGGAAUCUUGUUUCAAUUUAUGUUCCAGAAUAA